GGUCCUAGCGCACGCCGGUUUCGCGCACUGCGCGGCUAGGGGAGCGCCCCGCCCCGGCCCGGAAACCGCCGGGAGGGGGACCCCGGAGCCCACCGCCUUGGGUUCUCAGUCAGUGCAGCAGCGGCCACGUGCCUCGCCCAUUCCGCAUCCCUGCUGGAUUUGGAAGCAGGAUAAGUUAAUAAGAGGUCCACCAAAGGGCCUGGCAUGGACACAGCACAAGGUCACAGAGGCUGGUGGGUGCUAUGGAAUCUUGUCCGCUGGAGAGGCACACAGCCAGGGCAGAACGUCAGGGUCAAGGCUCUGCUGUUCUGAAGGCUCUACAGUGCUUAGUGACACCACCGUCAAUGACCGUCAGGUAUCAGGAAAUCAUUUGGCACCUCCUCUGGAACAUGGGCGUGGCCGGGCACUUGAGAUCUGGCUGUUCAGACAGAGGCAGUGUACAUAACCCACAUCGUGAG